UGGGGAAUUUUGGACAAUGGGCGAAAGCCUGAUCCAGCAAUGCCGCGUGUGUGAAGAAGGCCUUCGGGUUGUAAAGCACUUUUGUCCGGAAAGAAAUCCUUGGCUCUAAUACAGUCGGGGGGUGACGGUACCGGAAGAAUAAGCACCGGCUAACUACGUGCCAGCAGCCGCGGUAAUACGUAGGGUGCAAGCGUUAAUCGGAAUUACUGGGCGUAAAGCGUGCGCAGGCGGUUUGCUAAGACCGAUGUGAAAUCCCCGGGCUCAACCUGGGAACUGCAUUGGUGACUGGCAGGCUAGAGUAUGGCAGAUGGGGGGUAGAAUUCCACGUGUAGCAGUGAAAUGCGUAGAGAUGUGGAGGAAUACCGAUGGCGAAGGCAGCCCCCUGGGCCAAUACUGACGCUCAUGCACGAAAGCGUGGGGAGCAAACAGGAUUAGAUACCCUGGUAGUCCACGCCCUAAACGAUGUCAACUAGUUGUUGGGGAUUCAUUCCUUAGUAACGUAGCUAACGCGUGAAGUUGACCGCCUGGGGAGUACGGUCGCAAGAUUAAAACUCAAAUGAAUUGACGGGGUCAUAGCUGUUUCCU
rnacentral:rRNA from 1 species